rnacentral:rRNA from 1 species
AGUGAACGCUGGCGGUAGGCCUAACACAUGCAAGUCGAACGGCAGCACAGUAAGAGCUUGCUCUUACGGGUGGCGAGUGGCGGACGGGUGAGGAAUACAUCGGAAUCUACUUUUUCGUGGGGGAUAACGUAGGGAAACUUACGCUAAUACCGCAUACGACCUACGGGUGAAAGCAGGGGAUCUUCGGACCUUGCGCGAUUGAAUGAGCCGAUGUCGGAUUAGCUAGUUGGCGGGGUAAAGGCCCACCAAGGCGACGAUCCGAAGCUGGUCUGCGAGGAUGAUCAGCCACACUGGAACUGAGACACGGUCCAGACUCCUACGGGAGGCAGCAGUGGGGAAUAUUGGACAAUGGGCGCAAGCCUGAUCCAGCCAUACCGCGUGGGUGAAGAAGGCCUUCGGGUUGUAAAGCCCUUUUGUUGGGAAAGAAAAGCAGCAGGUUAAUACCCCGCUGUUCUGACGGUACCCAAAGAAUAAGCACCGGCUAACUUCGUG